GAUGAACGCUGGUGGCGUGCCUAACACAUGCAAGUCGAGCGAUUCUCUUCGGAGAAGAGCGGCGGACGGGUGAGUAACGCGUGGGUAACCUGCCCUGUACACACGGAUAACAUACCGAAAGGUAUGCUAAUACGAGAUAACAUGCUUUUAUCGCAUGGUAGAAGUAUCAAAGCUUUUGCGGUACAGGAUGGACCCGCGUCUGAUUAGCUAGUUGGUGAGGAAACGGCUCACCAAGGCGACGAUCAGUAGCCGACCUGAGAGGGUGAUCGGCCACAUUGGAACUGAGACACGGUCCAAACUCCUACGGGAGGCAGCAGUGGGGAAUAUUGCACAAUGGGCGAAAGCCUGAUGCAGCAACGCCGCGUGAGCGAUGAAGGCCUUCGGGUCGUAAAGCUCUGUCCUCAAGGAAGAUAAUGACGGUACUUGAGGAGGAAGCCCCGGCUAACUACGUG
rnacentral:rRNA from 1 species